AAUCAACGCUGGCGGCGUGCCUAACACAUGCAAGUCGCACGAGAAAGGGGAGCAAUCCCUGAGUAAAGUGGCGCACGGGUGAGUAACACGUGAAUCAUCUACCUCCGAGUGGGGAAUAACUGAGAGAAAUCUUAGCUAAUACCGCAUAACACUUACGAGUCAAAGCAGCAAUGCGCUUGGAGAGGAGUUCGCGGCCGAUUAGUUAGUUGGCGGGGUAAGUGGCCCACCAAGACGAUGAUCGGUAUCCGGCCUGAGAGGGCGCACGGACACACUGGAACU
rnacentral:rRNA from 1 species